ensembl:lncRNA
GAACCUGCACAGACUGAGAGACAGGCAGAGUUGACCAGGGCCACUUUAGAUCCUGGAAAUGGUCAUAAAGCUAAACCAGCCAGGUUUGCCUUUGCAAAAUGUGUGUGUUGUCUGGAGAUAAUUUAGCCAGAGGAUGACGUGUACUUAAACUUUUAACUUUCGUCAUAAGUGCUCCUGUACACUUUUUCAGAGCCUCCAGUUCAGUGUCUGAGGAAGCCGUGGAUGAGACUAAAGGAGAAAGGUCUCCACAGUGAGUAAAUUUGUUCUCCCGCUUCACACCGCACUUUCGAAUUGUUUCUAUUAUUUAUUGGUUUUCCUUUGUGCGUGUGUUUCCUCCAGGGAAGAGCCUGAUGUAUUUCAUCUGAACGACCAUUCCGACACUGAGGUUGGCUCCUUGCUUUCCCGAGGAUUAUGGGACUGCGUAACGCACCCAGUGACGCACAGCGGUUUCUCAUGUUGUCGACCGUGUGGGAAGUUGGGGAACGCGUUCCAAACACGUUUCCUAUGUAGCGCACACAGCAUAUGCAGGGCAAAAUUGGCUUUGGUGACCAGAUUAAUUUAUACCUGUUUAUUCACGCCACAUAAUACGGGUUUGGGUAAGAGCUUUGGCAAGUGCAGAACAUCCACUACUUUAACGAUAACGGCAGUUUUCCUAAACUGUGUGAACCAGCAAAUCCCUCAACUACUCCAGGUUAAAGUUGCGGUAUCUGAGACACUGCAUGCCGUUUGUAAAGGCUUGUCACAUAUCAGGAAGGAAAACUGUAUGCCAUUCAUGGCAGCUUUGAGGAGGUACCAGGUCAGUGCCGAAUGUGUGAAAAUGAUUGACGGCCGUCAGCGAUGGGUCGUCUGGGUGUUGGAUCCCUUUCUCGACGCUCAUAAGGUGUCUACUCAUUCUUCUCUCCUCUUUUCUCUUAGGUGGCAAGGGCAAAAGCAAGAAUUUUCAGUCAGUCGUCUUCUUCGAUGGGGUCUGCAAGUUCCAGUCAAGCUGCACCCAAACCGAAAGAAUCCCAUAAGAUUUGGCAGUCUGAGACUGAGAGCAGCCCAACACAACGUGGGGAGAGCGAGAGCCUCCAUCAGAGGAGCCUCAUGAGGGCCGACUACACCAGGAAGAAGCCCAAAGUCAAAGCCAAGCUGAAAAUUCUUCCCCUGUCCUCGAGCAGCAGCGCCGAAGAGUCUCACGUCGUCAUGCACUCAACUCCCAAGCCGGUGGAAGGGGAGCAAAGCAGAAGCAAAGAAAAGCCUUUCCCUCAUCUCAGACAGCCCAGCUUGGAAUACUCGCUUAUUACACCUCGAACGGAUGAAGGAAAAGAUGCAGAGCCUGCUGUGGAGAUGGAGCUGGACGAUUCUGUAUUCAUCAGAGAUGAUGAUGAUGAUGAUGAUGAUCUCCGUCGUGCUGAGGGACAUUCCAGUGUCAAGUUGCCGCUGCUUCCUUUAGCAAAGAAAAGGAAACAAGAAACGACAGGCCCCGAUUCAGGCCUCGGCUCGGAGAAAUGGCAGGACGCGCAGGAGGAAGAUCUUCCACCUCCAGGAGCGGAAGCGAAACGAUGGCGCUCCCCCGGGGAGAGGAUGGCCAAGCUGCUGAUGGAGGAGUCAGAGUCCGAAACGGAGACGGACGCCGGGGUCAUCGCUGCCUUUCAGUCCUUCAGAAAACAGCUGAACGAGUACUUUGCGGUAACGGCUCCCGCCUGACCUGCACCAAAGCCAACAUGAGCGGAGAGGUCAAUGCCGCUACCCCGCAGAAGCCCCAAAGUAUCGCACAAGCACUUAAAAGGGGUGAAAUUUUGACAGAUUAGAUCAAAUAUUUAAUUUGAGACUAUACAAAUCCACAGUGAACUGGUCUAUUUCUAGUAAUGUCAGGUACCUUCUGGGCUCGAGACCCCGUGUACCUCCGUCCCAAAAGCUCUGAUAAAAGCUGUAGCCCAGAAUAGCUGUUUUUGAAAUAAAAUGACCACAUGAAGGGUAACCA